GCCGUGACCCUGCUGGAGUCCGGGGGGGACCUCCAGCCCCCCGGGGGGUCCCUGCGCCUCCUCUGCCGAUGGUCCGGCUUCAGUUUUGGCAGUUUCGACAUGCAAUGGAUCCGCCAGAGACCCGGGCAGGGGCUGGAGUGGGUCGGGAGCAUCAACACUGGUGGCGGCACCUGGUACGCGCCGUCACUCAAGGGCCGGGUGACGAUCUCCAGGGACAACGGGCAGAGCUCGGUGACGCUGACCAUGAACAGCCUCAAGGACGAGGAUUCCGGAUCCUAUUUCUGUGCCAAGCGUUUUGAUGGUUAUGCUGGCAACGCUGCUGCUGCUGUUUUUGGCGACAAGUCUGGCCCCACUCCCAUGAUGGUCACCCAAUAUUUCCGCUCCCUUCUCUCGUGA